rnacentral:rRNA from 1 species
GACGUAGGGCGCGAGCGUUGUCCGGAUUUAUUGGGCGUAAAGCGCUCGCAGGUGGUCCGUCGCGUCGUGCGUGAAAGCCCCCGGCUCAACUGGGGAGUGUCGUGCGAUACGGGCGGACUGGAGGCCAGUAGGGGGAUGCGGAAUUCCGGGUGUAGUGGUGGAAUGCGUAGAGAUCCGGAGGAACACCAGCGGCGAAGGCGGCAUCCUGGACUGGUCCUGACACUCAUGAGCGAAAGCGUGGGGAGCGAUCCGG